rnacentral:rRNA from 1 species
CGCAGCCGCGGUAAUUCCAGCUCCAAUAGCGUAUAUUAAAGUUGCUGCAGUUAAAAAGCUCGUAGUUGAAUUUCGGGACUAAUAUGUCGGUCGUGCCUCGGUACGUACUGGUUUAUUGGUUUCUCCUUUCUGAAGAACCAUGAUGUCAUUUAUUUGGUGUCGUGGGGAAUCAGGACUGUUACUUUGAAAAAUUAGAGUGUUUAAAGCAGGCUAACGCUUGAAUACAUUAGCAUGGAAUAAUGAAAUAGGACGUUUGAUCCUAUUUUGUUGGUUUCUAGGAUCGACGUAAUGAUUAAUAGGGAUAGUUGGGGGCAUUAGUAUUCAAUUGUCAGAGGUGAAAUUCUUGGAUUUAUUGAAGACUAACUACUGCGAAAGCAUUUGCCAAGGAUGUUUUCAUUAAUCAAGAACGAAAGUUAGGGGAUCGAAGACGAUCAGAUACCGUCGUAGUCUUAACCAUAAACUAUGCCGACUAGGGAUCGGAUGAUGUUUAAUUUUUAAUGACUCAUUCGGCGCCUUACGG